rnacentral:lncRNA from 1 species
UUAGAAGUUUACAAAGGUUUUUAAAGGGUUUACAAAGGUUUUUAAAGGGUUUACAAAAGUUUUUAAAGGUAUUACAAGUUUUUUAAAAUGGUUUAUAAGGAUUUACAAGGGGUUUAAAAGGAUUUUAGAAGUUUACAAAAGUUUUUAUUAAAUGAUUUAUCACGGUUAUAAGGGGUUUGAAGGAAUUUACAAGUGUUUAUAAAUGUUAUAAAAUGAUUUACGAUGGUUUUAAA